rnacentral:rRNA from 1 species
GACGAACGCUGGCGGCGUGCCUAAUACAUGCAAGUCGAACGAAGCGGCGGGUGGGUAAGUAACGCGUGAGUAACCUACCCUUAAGGCUGGGAUACCAUUUGGAAACGGAUGCUAAUACAGGAUACUGAAGGAUGGGCCUGCCAUGAAUUAGCUAGUUGGGAAGGUAACGGCUUACCAAGGCGAUGAUGCAUAGCCGAGUUGAGAGACUGAUCGGCCACAUUGGGACUGAGACACGGCCCAAACUCCUACGGGAGGCAGCAGUAGGGAAUCUUCCACAAUGGACGAAAGUCUGAUGGAGCAACGCCGCGUGAGUGAAGAAGGUUUUCGGAUCGUAAAGCUCUGUUGUUGGUGAAGCGGUAAUCAACCAGAAAGUCACGGCUAACUACGUGCCAGCCGCCGCGGUAAUUC